UGAUGUUUGUAUAUGCAUGCUGUAUUUUCUAGCUAUGGUUUCGCUCUAAAUUAUGACUUUGAAGGAAGGGAUACUGCAAAUUGUGACAGUUAUCAAAGCAAAUUUGAACGUUAAAGGCGGGAAUGUAGAAAUUUUAAUAUUGUUACAGGCAGGAAAUUAAAGCAUUGUGAUAAAUGGAGAAAUGAUGGGACCAUGAAAUUAUGGUGUUAUAGGCGGGAAAAUGUUAAAAAAGGGAAUGUUAUAACCGGGUUGUACUGUAUAUGCCAGCGAUCCGGCUGACGUAGUAUGGCCACUCACGUAAGGCUGUUCCAAACACCGUUCGCCCAAUCAUCUGCUUGAUUUUGUAUUUAUCCGGUGUCGCUGUUCCAAGCUGACAUCAGUGCCCCGAGCGGUCUCCAGACCCGCUGCGAACUGAGACGGGAACACCCGGUCGUGGGCCCGCGACUCACCCCUCGCGCCCAGUUCUGAGGGGAGUCCGGGCUGCUGGUGUUCUGCUCGGGCGACGUGGGCGUGGACCGGUUGGCCAGCGACUGCCGCUGCUUGCCGGCGAAUUGCUUCUUGUUCUUCAUGCCCACCUUCUUCUCCCGCCUGCGGCACGCAACGACAGUCACUGCCCUGCCCCGGCCAUGAUCCACAGUAUCUGGGUCAUCUUAUAUUCCAGUUGGUCUUUUAUUCGAGGAAUCGAGGCUAACUCACUUGAUGAGCAGCUGCUCCCACUGCUGCACCUGCCGCCUCUUCACCUCGAGCAGCUGGCGCUGCUGGUCCACCUGCAGCGUCUUGAGCCGCAGCUCCUCCCGCUCCUGCUCGAACUGCAGGUUGCGCGCGAUGAUCUCCAGGUCCGCCUCGAAGCGCGACAUGUGGCUGCCGUGCGACUGGACCUGCUGCAUCUGCAGGCGGAUCUCCUGCCUCCAGGUGGCCUGGGCGGGGAGCGACAAGCACGGCCACUACGGUACAUGUUGUUGUAGCUGAAGUGAAGUAUGCUCGUGUAUCUACAUCUAUUCCUACUGUGAAUAUAUGAUCAGCUCAUACAACAAAUACUAAUAAACCAAUAGCAGCUAU